UCGCAACAAACAAGAGCAGAAAGAUAUUUAGCCAUGAGUGGAAAUAUAGACAGGAAACUUUCACCGAUUUCAUGCACAACUUUCCAAACUUCUUCAUUGAUAUGUAGAUUUCGGAUCUGUGGCGUUAUUCUAGACAGAACAUGAUUGGUAAACCACUUUAAGACAAUAGUUCAAAGAUCAUACCAAAGCAUGUUAAGCCCCUUGUUCUACAAGAAUUAUACAAAUAAUAAUCUGUAACCUUUAUGGCAUCCCUCAAGAAUGGGUUGACAGCUUUAGCUUCUGGUGCAAAAAUAUAUCUUUUCCAUACAAAUUCUUGUGUGUUUUGCUUAUUAACAUGAUUCUUCCACAUUUACAGCUAAGCAUUGUUUUGAAACCAAAGCAGUGUUUUUACUUUCUAAGCCUUUCGACUUCAGUAAAACAAAGUGAGAUGUCUACAAAUGGGAAGAAAAAAAACCCUGAACUUUCACUGUUCUAGCAUAACUUUAAACAGCCUGGUUAUGCUUGAAAGUUAAUGUGUCUGAACUAAAAUAAUUAAAAUUAACACGAGGAAACAAUAGCACAUUACUUAUCACAGUUACUUUUUCGCAAAGGGUUUGAAUAAAAUCCUAGGUGGAAAACUGCUUUUUGUAUUAACUCGGAUCACCUUUUUAUCCCACAAAAAUUGUUUGAUGAUCUGAAAUGUUUAAAUGUGACUAGAAAGUACGCAGAAGAAGCAAGGGACACAUUCAUACUUUGUGAAUACAAUAAUUUGCUGGUAAACUAAAAGUUUCCAUCUUGACAUCAGGAUUUCGUGAGCAUUAAUAACUUUCCCUGAAGCUCAUUAAGGACAGAGUUUUUAUUAAAGAUUUUCUGUGUUCCUUCAUUUUAUUUCACUCACUUAAAUGGGUUUUAACUUAGUACUGAGGUAGUUUCUAAAAAAAAAAAAACAUCUAAAACACACAGAUUGCCUGUCGUCACUGUUUUGUGUUUUGUGUUUUGUUCACCAAGAGGACUCAUUAAAAGAGGAUUUUGCUUUCCCACUGCUGACCCUCUUUUCCCUACAGCAGCAGCUGCAGUCACUUUUAAUAAUAGCAUUGCUGGCCUCAGCAACAACACACACAUGCAUGUGCACCUAACGGUAAAUCAUCUCCCGCUGCAGCUUGAAUCCUCCCAACUGUUUUUUUUUUUCCCCUGUUCAUGUAAUAAUUCAUGUGUUUUCAUCCAGAUCUGAACCUCCUAUAGUAGCACCAGAAUGUUGGUCUGCGCCAACCAAAACCAGUCACUAGUCUGAGACAACAAAGUGCGGCAGCGUCCCGGAGUCACAGUGGAGAAAUGAAAGUUGAGCCUGUUAGUUGUGUCAGCCCACCCCAUCAUAAACACAAUUCAGCGUCAAGUGGCUGAAUUGCCUCCUCAGGAACCAUCCAGUACUACGGAGUGAUGAUAAUGGCCUCGUCAUUUAAUCCAGGUGUAGUGAAACAAACACAUAUAAAAGCUACGCGACACCAAUUUUUAGAUCGGGGUUUGAGACCCCUGUGCUAGAUGCAUUAUCAACAAAGACAAAUCCACACUGAGUCACCCUGUAUCAUUCAGCUAAACCUGCAGACUCUUUAAAUCGGCCAACAUGGCGAUCUAUCCUAUUGCUAUGAAUUUUUUGUUGUUGUUGUUUUAGUUAUUUUAGACUGCAGACACAUUUUGUCUCUCUUAGCUUCCAUCACUCCUCAUUUCUGUAUCUGUGGUUGGGUUUUCUGUGUAGUUCUUCAUAUCUCCACUGGAGGACGCCAUGGAGAGCUCAACUUUUGCACACUUGCUUGUCAUCCCAAACCCAACGACUGACAACCUCAAAGCUCCUAAUUGUUCAACUCCUCUGUGCAACCUGUCCGCUCACCAGCAUCUCCACCUUCCCACCAAACCCCCAAGUCUCUCUCUCUCUCUCUCUCUCUCUCUCUCUCUCUCUCUCUGUCUCUUUCUCUAGAAUUAUUACUGAUGUUAACCUGACAGAACAUAGUUUCAAAAAACUUAAAACCAACCCUUUCGCUCUGGGAGACGUGCCCUGUGCUCUGAAGAAACUACAAUUGCAGCAGCAUCUUGCUUUUGAGCGUUCCUUCUAUCUUUCUUUAUUGUUUACUUGCAUGGGGAUAAGUACUAAAAACAAAACAUUGCAACAUUUACAGCCUCGGCUAAUUUGCUAAGCACAUCCCCAGACAUGCCUGUUUGCUGCAGGAGGGACAAGCUUUUUUCUUUUUUUUUCUUUUUUUCGUACAUCUGGUAUCUCAUUUCAAGUGUGUAUUUCUGAAAACAAAGUUAGACACAACCAGAGCAAUGGCUGCUUGUAGAUUGUCAGACCUUUGUGGACAUUAUCAUACUGUAAUUUGUAUUUCAGAGAGCAUUUCCCACCUUUGCCAUCCCUCAGUGUGUUGGAUUUUUUUUUUUUUUUUUUUAAGUUUGAACCUGUCACAUUUCUGGCAGUGUAUCAACUGCAAGCUAAACAUAGGCCUGACAAGCUCCCUACAGCCCUGCUGAGGCAGGCUUCCCUUCACAGUGUUGUUCUGCAUGCAUACAUCCGUCACCCAGUCCAAAAGCAACUCUGAGAUGGAUGCAUUGCCCGACAGCCAAGUCGGCGCACAAAUCCUCACAUGCAAUCCUGAAUUCCCACAUGAAGAGGGCUCUUUUCAUACAGAAGCACUUCUGUGAGGGUUAGAGUGCAUAAACACUAUCAUUUCCCUGUAAAACGGUCAAUUAUGCAGCUAAAACUGUCAUCCAUGUGUCCAAACAGUAAAAAAAAAAAAAACACUUGACAGAGAUGCAGGUUUCUGGUCAGCUUUUUUAAACUGCAGGGUUUGAUUGUGCAGCCUGGUGGUUUAGCAAAGCAAAUCUUUUUUACAGCUUCAAUAGGUAGGUGUCUUAUUGUGUUAACUCUAGUUUAAGAUUCUUAAAACUCCUCUAGAAAGCAAUGCAUCGUUGCAUGUUUGUAAAAAAAAAAAAAAAAAAAAAAAAAGUUGCAUGAACGUUACUUUUCAAAGUUAAACAAGGCAAAGAAUGUUUUAUCUGGAUGCAAUCUCAAAUGAAACACACCUACCCCAGUCGCUUAAGAAAAACUGGUCAAUGUUUCAGGGAAGUGCAAUUAUACCAAAUGUAUAUGCUGUCUCUUUAAGAUUUUCGGUAAAAGUUUCUCGAAAGUGUGAGAAUUUACUCCUAAUAAUGUAAUUGCCGCAUUCACAUUUUAUUUUCAGCAGUCCUCCGCUUGUUAAAUUCUGCAUUGUGUCCCAUUUUAUUGUGACUUCACCAACGAGGCUCUCGGAGUAUAAAACUGAGCGUCAUGGCAUCAUGUAAGAGGAUGUUUUUAAACCUUUAAAGUUGUGUGAGAAUAAAUAAAAAGAUUUUGUCACUGUCA